UCCGGUGGCGAUAGCGGAGGGGAAACACCCGUUCCCAUUCCGAACACGGUCCACAAGGGGCCCCCAGACGGUCGCAAGACCGGCUGGGGUGCUAGUUAAGCCCUCCAGCGCCGAUGGUA
rnacentral:rRNA from 3 species